rnacentral:rRNA from 1 species
AUACGUAGGGAGCGAGCGUUGUCCGGAUUUAUUGGGCGUAAAGCGAGCGCAGGCGGAAAAAUAAGUCUAAUGUGAAAGCCCUCGGCUUAACCGAGGAACUGCAUCGGAAACUGUUUUUCUUGAGUGCAGAAGAGGAGAGUGGAACUCCAUGUGUAGCGGUGAAAUGCGUAGAUAUAUGGAGGAACACCGGUGGCGAAAGCGGCUCUCUGGUCUGUAACUGACGCUGAGGCUCGAAAGCGUGGGGAGC